GGGCCCAUAGCUCAGCGGCAGAGCAGUCGGCUCAUAACCGAUCGGUCCCUGGUUCGAAUCCAGGUGGGCCCACCA
rnacentral:tRNA from 2 species